AUAUUGCGCAAUGGCCGCAAGGCUGACGCAGCGACGCCGCGUGGAGGAUGACGGCCUUCGGGUUGUAAACUCCUGUUGCCCGGGACGAACCGCCGGAUUAGUCCGGCCUGACGGUACCGGGUGAGGAAGCACCGGCUAACUCCGUGCCAGCAGCCGCGGUAAUACGGAGGGUGCGAGCGUUGUCCGGAAUCACUGGGCGUAAAGGGCGCGUAGGCGGUGGGAUAAGCGUGUGGUGAAAGCCCGGGGCUCAACUCCGGGUCUGCCGUGCGAACUGUUUCACUCGAGCACUGUAGAGGCAGGUGGAAUUCCGGGUGUAGCGGUGGAAUGCGUAGAGAUCCGGAAGAACAUCGGUGGCGAAGGCGGCCUGCUGGGCAGUGUCUGACGCUGAGGCGCGACAGCGUGGGGAGCAAACAGG
rnacentral:rRNA from 1 species